ensembl:lncRNA
AUGCUGCAGCAUCAGAGACAGAGGGAGCUACAGCGCCUCACGCUGACCGGAGCGCUCGCCUCCACCCCAAACUCACCCAUGAUCACUCAGUCUCCCAGCCUGUUGUCCUCGGCCACGGCCUCCCCCCUGCAGGGAGGCCAAGGAGGCGGCCUCUUCGGUCUGCAAGACAGCGUGCUCCACAAACCCGGGGCUCUAGGAGAGAAAGGAGGAGACAAGAAUGGCUGAUGUUUCCUGGUGACUUCCUGUAGGCGCAGCUCAGAUGAAGAAAUCUGCAAAGUUCAUGAAGUACUGAGGUCAACUCUUCCUCGUCUGGCAUCUUCAUCUGACAAACGUAUAUGAAUGUAAAACAGGACGUGGCGGUGGAGCGUCUCUUUGUCUUUUUUUUUAAGAAUAGAGUUUUUAUUUUUAUUUUUUUACGUUUUUUUUUCCUGGGCAGCUUUCAGAGAACAUGAGUACGGUGGUCUCUCCUUAAAUUGCACUAAUUUAGCUCGACCAAUGGGGCUGCUUCUGAAGCUCACCACUGCAGGAGGUGGGUGGGCUUUUAUUUUGAAGUUUUUCCAGCACUGAGAUCUCCUUCCACCAUUCAAACCAGUGUUUCCAGUCAAUCCGAGAGGAAAACAGACUUCUGCCGCUUGGAGCAACCUCAGCUGUCUUCCUUCAGACUCGGUCUUCCCGUUUGAGUUCCUCCCGGUUCCGUCCAGAUCUUCGGUCUGUCGCAGGCACUUCCUGUUGUGUAAAGAUGAAUAUAGUCAUGUUGAUGUGUGGUUAGUGGCAUUUCCUCGUUAAGAUAGUUAUUACCUCAGACUCUCAGCCAGCUACCCUCCGUCGUGAUCUUGUGUUACCGCGAUAGCCUUCAGUGGAUAGAAAUACCCACCAAAAACUCUUGUAAGUGUAAAAAGUCGGCAUGUCGUCAGCGGGUUUAAAUCCACACCACCACCAGAGUUUCUACAGAUCUUUAUUUCCUUCCAGUUGCUGUGGAGAUUAAGCAGAUGAAACCAAACAUUUGGAGAGCGUUUGAGAGAAAACCAGUUCUUUUUCUGAACGUCUUGCACUUUGCAUGUUGACAGACGCGGUACUCCCUAAAGGACGUUGCGUAGGCAGGUUUAUGAUUUGUGAGGGUUUUUUUUUUUGCACCCUGUCCUGAAGUUUUCGUGUUACUUCCACAGAUAACUAGAUGUUUUUUUAGCAAUACUGGAUAGAUGAUGCCUUAAUGAUGGUAGAUUCACAGAAAGGCCCACGGGUUCACGCUGUCCUCCUCUCGUUGUUGUUUGUUUUACCUCGGGUCUUCGACGGAGUCGUUUUCUUUUUAAAUAAACUACUUUCUACUUUUGAUAACUGACUUUAAAGACUUCAAACGGCUGAAGCGUGUGAAUAAAACAUACAACUGUUGGAACUUUUUUGUGUUUAAAUGCAGAAACUCUUUAGGAUUUUUUAUGCUUCAGAAAACUGGAGAGUUGAGCUCAACUCUGUUUGUGGCAGGGGCGUGUCCAGGGAGUGGCCUGGGGUAGCACAUGCCACCCUUGGAAUCUGAUUGGCCACCCCAGGUACCACCACACUCAUUGUCCACAAAAGGCUUGGGGGUAAAACAAAAAAAGCAUAACCAUUGGUGCCACCCAUGCACAAAGUUGUGCCUCACCUGGGCCACCCCAUUUUAAAAGAUCUGGACACGCCCCUGGUUUGUGAUACGUAAUGUGAUGUUCUCAGCACUGACGGGACGGCGAAACUCCAGCAUAGAGUCCAGCCUUCCUGGUUUUUCCAGAACGAUUUCCCUCCAGCUCCUCGGCAGACCGUCUCCUUGGCCUUUUCCACACCUUUUCUCUCUUCCGUUUGCAGUUUUGAACGUUAUCUCGUGUGAUGUUUAGUUUCUGUAGCAGCAGCAGCAGCUCACUAGUUACAUACUGUAGCAGCGACGGAAGGAAAACGUCGAUUUUAUAAAGGUAAUAGGUGUGUUAUAAACUAUAAAAAAGAAAGCGAGUCCAGCCACGAAGAGUGGAGCGAAGGAUUUCUGAAGCCGUUUCUUUUGUCACGUUGCACUGGGGCUCCUGGAGCCCACAUGUAAAUUCCUUUUUAGGCCUUUUUUUUUCCAGUUUAGUUCAAGUUGUAAACUUUAAAAUGUGUAAAAAAACACACUCAUCGUUUUAAGCUUUGAGGUUUUUUGGGUAACCGCGAUAAUCCAUGUUCUGAAUGUCGUACUGUGUACCUUUUAUGUUGCAGCAUUUAAGCACCUGGCUCUAAACGAGGCUUCACCUGUCGGGAUAUGAAAUGCAUGAAAUGCAGUGACGUCUCUCAAAUAAAUGGCUACGUACCAAGUAAUAACUAUGCAUCAUUUUAAAUGCAUCGUUCCCUGAAAAAGAAAAUGAAACUAGCACUGAGUUAUAAAGGAAAGCACGUUGUGGCUGUACAGUGUAUUUGUUUGACAGAAUUGAAAUUCGACAAUAUUCAGAUUAAAUCCCUGUAAAGAAUUUUGAUAUUUUUGUGUGUAAAAUUAAAAGACAACUUUUUUGUCAAUAAAUGUAUUUUGCUGAGUUGUCUCUUUGUGUGCACCACUGUCUAAUCUAUUCUCUCUUUUGUUUCAUGUUAUCUAAAAAGGACAUACGACUUUUUAUAAUAGUUCUGUUUGGUCUAUAAAAACAUUUUUGAAGUUAUUUGCACCGAGUCCCUCUCACACAAAGUGAUUUUAGCAGUUUCAUCAUGGACAGUUUUGGUACCUUCCAUAAUGAGCCGUUUCAGGGCUCUGUCACUUUAAGAAAACAAGCUGGAGCUGGCCGCGCCCAUCCAUCACCUGCUCAAGCUGCUAUUAGCUGAGAAGCUCCAAUAUCUGGGAGGGGCUUAGAGUACUAGUCUCUUGCAUGUGGGAGGUGUUUCUAGUCUACUUUUCCCAUUUGUGACAUCACAAACGGGGACUUUUUGAAAAGGCUUGCUUUAGACACAUAGUUUCUAAAAUCUAACACUGACAUAAAACAGAUGGAGGGAUUUUUUUUUCAUGUUUAGGGUGUUUAUAGAGGGAGAGGAGACCCACUCAACUCUUUAGUAAUGGUUCCUAAAGCUUUAUUGUGAAUAUGAGUGAUUUGGACAUGUUUCUUCAAUCUUCAUUUGUUGUUUUAAUUAUUGAAUUUUAUUUAUCUUCAAUUUUGCCCUUUAAACCAUAUAUUUCAUAUCAUUAAAAAGCAAUUCAUCUAAUUAAAAUGUUAUCAAAUUACAUCUCUAGUUGUGACCAAACAUUUACUCAAUUUUUCAGUUGCCUUUUAACCUAAAUGUUUUUAUUUGUAUUUGGGUUUUAUUUAUUUAUUUAUUUGAGUAGUUUAUACAUUCAUUGUGAAAUCCAAAUACAUUAAUGAUCUUUCUGUUGAAAACAAAAUACGGACCUUUUUUUAAAAGAAAUGUAAGGUCUGAGUGUGUUUAUUAGAUGCAGUUUGGUAUUUAUUGGUCUUAAAACUAAUAACUAACAAUUUUAUAUCUGACUUGUUUGAUUAGAACUUAUAAACUUAUGUUUGUAACAUUUGUAAUGAGAUGUAUUUAUUUUAUAUUACCCAUUAAUAAAUACAUUUAUUACAAUUAUUAAGUGCAAUCCCUCUAAAUCUACCGUGGAUUUAGUGUCGCCCUGUGGCCGCCAGGGGGCGUAUAAUCUGAUGAUUGUAGUGCUGAUAGCUAGCUCUAAUAUUUCCGGCUUUGCUAGCUUAUUUAAUCUUGUUAAACACGGAUAAUUAACAUAUAUUUAUUGAGUUUCAGUAGUUUGUAUUGGUGAAGACGGUCUGGCUUCCUGUUAUUUAGAGGAACAGCUGUUAACGCCAACUUGAACCC